UGGCCUCCAACUUGCAAUCCUCCUCCUCCAGUCUCCUGAGUCUCUGGGACUACUGCACCUGCCUCUGGAGAGGACCUUGACCCAGAGAACACCACACAGGCUGGCUGGCUUCUCAGUGUUUUGUUGCAGUGAUGUGUGAAUAGCACAGACGUGGCUGCUAUAGACUCAGUGUGUCCCCUUAAAUUAUGCUGAAACUUAACCCCCAACAUGAGGGCAUUUGGGAGUGGGGCCUCUGGGAGGUGAUUAUGUCAGGAGGGUGAAGCCC
rnacentral:lncRNA from 1 species